UUAUGUAAAGACUAAUAGCAUAGUAAACACAUAAAUACAAAUAAUGAUACAAAAAUGAAUUUAACUUUCAGGAUUAUUUUUUUAAUUCAGAGAAGUCAGUAGUUUUAUAAUGGGGAAAUCUGUCAUUCAUUUAUUUAUGUACUCUAUAGAAAAAAGAAAAGCACCCAGUUUCCAGUUAGUUUUUAAUCUCACCACUCCUAGAUGGAUGUACCAUACUUAAUAGCACUCUCAGAUAAAAUUUACACACAUGUACAACAUCUUAACUGCCUUCUUCAAAAAGGAGAUGAAACUACUUCAAAGCAGGAAUAUAUAUUUCCUCUGUGAAGGGAGUAGGAUGAAGUACCACAGUUUUAUUAACUUCCUAUUACAGGAAGAGAUGUUCAAAGAGAACCAAAGUUUUGGGUAAGCUUUUUGAGCACCAGAUGUCCACAGUUUUUAGAAAUUUGAGAUGUUGGGUAAAAGCUGGCUACAACUUUCCUUUUGUAAAACAUCAUCAAAAAAUCCACCAGCUUCCUGUUUCUAAAAACUAGCUUUAGGAUGCCAGGUUACAAGGGUUCAACACUGACAAUAUAAUAAUAUCAAAUUUCUUGUUACAGAUUAGAGUUAGGAAAAGGAAACAGGAGACCUACGGUCCAGACAAUUAACAAACUAUAUUUACUAAAUAGAUAUGUGGCCUUUUAUUUUAAUCUUACUUUACCUCUAAAUGAUCUUUUCAGAUCACUUUAGCUAUAAAAUGACAUAACUUUGCCACAUUGUUUACCUUAUACCUACACCUCUGCUAUCAGUAGGGUGCACUGUUUAUGUAAUUAAUCAGAUGAAGAAUACACAAAAAUAAUUUCUUAGAUUUUUUUUCAAGGUAAUUUAAAUCUGUAUGAAACAAUGAGUUCUGUCACUCUGCAGCUACCUGCUGAAAUCCUCUUUUAGAUCUGGAGGAUACUGGAUUUUUUAUGUAUACCAAGGUAAACCAAAACAUGUUAAGGUGCUUACUGAACAUUUUUUUUCCACAUAUAUAUAAAAAAUACACGUUAAGGACAAAGGUAACCCCAGCCAGAGAGAUACAGUUACACAAUGAAGGCAGAGGGCAGCAUAAACAGGUUAAAUUGUGUGAAGACACAAAAAAGUGUCAUACAUUCUAAUUAGUACUAUUCUUAUUUCAGCAACCCUUAUUCCAUUUGGUAUUCCAAGACGACCUAUUUCUUAUGUAGUUUACCACAAAUUAAGAAUUCCUCAACACAAAAAUCAGGAGUCAGGCAGGAACUGAGGUUUAAUAUUACAACACACAUCACUUGUAGGGUGGUUUGGAACUUUGAUUUCUGAAAAGCACUGAAGGAUCACGGGCUGUUACGAACAACCUCACGUGAUUUGGGGUCACUUCACCCCGAACGAAUUCUCUGCAACCAUCAAUACCUACACAUCACUGGGUCACUCAGAGGGAGAAAAGGAAAAAGACAUGUACUCUUUAAAGCUGUCACAUAGAAAACUUGAUCAUUAAAUAUAUUGGCAGACGGUUUUGCUAAGUAGUGUCUUUACUUGCCAAAACACUGGGAACAUGAGGGCUGAGUACAUAUCAAUUAUGUACUCAGUUAUUAUACCACCCUGUUAUUCAAAUUUUCCUGGGGGAGGGGGAGUGCAUUACGUGCAGAACGUGCCCAACCCAGGGAAGCUAAAGGGUGGUCCCCCAGCUCCUACUUCCGGGGCAGUUGGUGCUUCACGCCCACCCUAGCCCGGGGACACGCUUCUUGUGGGCCAGAACUCCCAGGUGACCUUGUGAGGAAUGCGGUGCGGAGCAGGUCUGGCCCCGCCGCUGGGGCAACUGCCCUGCAGGCCCUGUGGGGGCUCGGGGCGCCCGGACGCCAGGCCCGCGGCCCGCAGGGUGGGAAAACUAAGGCACAGAGAGGCAAAGAAGCUUGUACAAAGUCAACCAGUAAGUGUUGGAAAUCACCAUUAGAACCCCAGCCAUCAGACGCUGGAGCCACAUGCUUAGCUACUGUGAUGUCCUGCCUCCCAUAAGUAAUGCCUCAAGUUUACCAGGUUAAUCCUAAAAUGACUUAGGGUUGUAUUUCCAGUGCCCAGAGCAGUACCUGGUACAUCAAAGGUGCUGAAUAAAUAUUUAUCGGAUGAAUGAAUCAAGUUUUGGGGAUCAUGAACAGUGAGAACAUAGGCCCAGACAAUUCUAAGGUAAGAUCUGGCACCUUCUGAGCCAACCCAACAGCUUUCAGUUAACUGACCUAAAACCAAUGCUUUCGAGUCCCCAGGUCAGUAGUGCUCAAAGCCUGGUCCCCUGACUGGUUGCACCCGUAUCACUGGGGAACUUGAUAGAAAGGCAAAUUCUCUGGUCUCACCACAGACCUACUGAGUCAGAAACCUUGGCAGUAGGGUUCAGCAAUCUGUGUUUUAAUGAGACUUCCAGGUAAUUCUGAUGCACUGCCCCAGACAAUACCAAUAUCUUACCUGUGUGUUCACAGCCCUUUUACAUAUAUCACUGUUAUUCUGGACUUUAAAAAAGCCCUGAGAAUAGGCAA